UACAGAGGGUGCAAGCGUUAAUCGGAAUUACUGGGCGUAAAGCGUGCGUAGACGGUUAUUUAAGUCAGGUGUGAAAGCCCCGGGCUCAACCUGGGAAUUGCAUUUGAGACUGAAUAGCUAGGGUGCGGAAGAGGGAAGCGGAAUUUCCGGUGUAGAGGUGAAAUUCGUAGAUAUGGGGAGGAACACCGGUGGCGAAGGCGGCCACCUGGACGGUAACUGACGCUGAGACGCGAAGCGUGGGGAGCAAACAGG
rnacentral:rRNA from 1 species